ensembl:lncRNA
GUACGGUAUAGUUUUAACAGGGGAUCAUUACAUUGAGGGAGUCAAGUAGCAGACAGUUGUUUCAAAGUGCUUGGGGAUCGCCAGCCAGCACUGGGCUAGAGAUGGAGAUGGAGAGAGAGCGAGAGAGAGAGAGAGAGAGAGAGAGAGAGAGAGAGAGAGAGAGAGAGAGAGAGAGAGAGAGAGAGAGAGAGAGAGAGAGAGAGAGAGAGCAGGAAAGCGAGCAAGAGAGAGAGGGGAGGGAAAGAGAGAGAGAGAAAAGCGAGAAAGAGAGAGAAAGCGAGAGAGAGCGAGAGAGAGAGGGGGGAGGAACCAGCGCCAAACAGCAGUCACACGCAGCAGCGCAGAUGCCAGCAGCUCUCACAACAAACGCGUCUUGUUAGACAGGAAGAGAGAACAUGAGAAACACAUUCAAAUGCGUUGUACCCGUCGUUGGACAUCAUUUGAAGCCUUCAAGUUCCUAAGGAGAGCAAAACACGGGACGGAGAGUGCACGUGUGUGUGAAGCCGUGCAGCUUUUCUUUGCAGACUGCUGUCCCGAAAGCGUCGCAGGCAGAAAUAGCUCUAAGACGUUCUCCUCAGCCUGGGAGUCCCGUGCGUAAGAGACAGAGGGCUCCACUCGUCGAUGUGACUUCCUGGGAUGCUCAGGCGCACCCGCUCCCCCUGCUUCUCUUCCGGCCUCCACCAGAGGAAGACAGGGCACCAUUGAAAGACGCCGGCCGUUCUUCUGUAGGUACCAGAUGCAGCCGGCUGCCGUGGUAACGCGGAGCCGAGACGGCGGGGCCUCGUCUGUGAUGGAUGAGUCCGUGGUCCGUGCCAGGGGCCACGGGCCCCACAGACAAACACAGUGAUGCCCCCCCCCGGGAUCCUGAUAAUGGAUUCCACGUUUUCAGUCUUUGGCCCCUGGUUGAACGUCUUGGCUUUGCUCCCCUCUGGGAUCACCCGAGAUUUAUCCCGUCUGAGCAGCCCAGGACAUCAGGGACUUACAACCGUUUGUUCCCACGUUCACACACACACACACCGACGGUGUGUCAACCACGCAGGGCGACAGCCAGCUCGUCAGGCGCAGUCAGGGGUGAGGCGUUUCACUCAGGGACACCUCGACCCUCAGCCAGGAGGAUGCUAGUUCGGGGAUCGAACUAGCAACCUUCCAGUCACCAGUCAACCCGCUCUGCCACCUGGGUUGGCGUCGCCUCCUAUGUCGUGUGACUGCAGGCACUGAUCAAGAGCGCGCCGUCGCCCCGCGGACCAGCUGCCAUGGCCUUGGUUCAGCCGCUGCCCGUCUCCGCUGACCACCUCAAGCCGGGCCCCGGCGGGUCGUCCCGCAGCCGCCGUUCCUCCGGCCACGCGUCCCCGGUGGGCCCCGCUGGGCCCCGGCCCCCGUCGCUAGAGGCGAUGGGCUCCGUCGGCAGCCUCAUCGCGCCCGGCCCCGCGCCCUACCACGACCGCCAGCGCCGCACAACCGUCGGCGGAGGCCCCGCGGGGGAGCCGGGCGCCAGGCACGCGCG